rnacentral:lncRNA from 1 species
AUGAAGUGGAGGGCUCCAAUGUAAACCAACAUGAACUGGAAUCCCUUGACCUGCUGUCUCCAGUGGUGAUUCCCUAAUUUGGGUAGAGAACAAAAAUGAACAACAAAAGAUUCAGAGACUCCACAACCUCAAGGGCUAAUAAAUGUUUGUUCUAAGACAUGCAAUAGGCAAAUGUGGCCUUUUAAAUAGAUCGACUAACUCAACCAAAAGCUGAGAAAAGCAAAAAAAGACUCUGGGGCUAGGCUCUGGGGGGAAGUGACCAGGCUACCAAACUGUGACAAUAUCCUUCCUUCCCCUUCCCCAAAGGGCCUAGAUUAAGACUUGUAUCGAGCAAACAGACACACAGAAAAACACACACACACACUCAAACUUUAACCUGGGAGACAUGAGGUGCUUC